UCCACACCUACCUAAAACUUUUGCACAGUACCGUACACUGCUCAGAUAAAUUACAGGAACACUGGAUAUCUAUACUGAUGCAGACUGGUUAAUGUGUUAGAAAUGCAGGGAUGCCACAUCGUUUGAUGGAAAGGAAAAUGAUCAACCUGCAAAGACAGCCCAAAAAUCAAAAUGAAAAAAUGAUGCAGCAGGUUAGUCUGUUUUCCUGGAAUGUCAUUGCAGAGCAUUGCAUACUCUCACCUCAUCACGCCUGCACUGUUGUGCAACAGGAGGAACCCAGGACCCACUGCACCAGCGUAGAGUGACAAUGGCUUCAAGAAUUUCAUCAUUCUACUGCCUAGUCUGUAGAAAACUGUACAUCCUUCCAUGGAUAUGCGUCCCGAGACCAUCACUGACCCACCACCAAACUUGUCAUGUCGGACACUGCACUAACAUCUGGCAGGACAAACCAGAUGUCAGGAAAUAUUAACAGCCUUGUCAGCAACAGAGCAGAAAGUCCUCAAAUUGCAGCACCCCGAGAGCAAACCUGCAUGGCUCUGUGAACUCUAGUGUCUCAAAGGGACUACAUGAUAUAAAACUCAGUAAUCUUCAAGAAUAGUUCCUGAGGGUUCCUGGAGGACAUUCAAAGCUCUUCUUUGGACGCUGGCUACGUUUUGUUCUGUUCUCUGUGAAGAUGAUCCCACACCGCUCCAAUAAUGUUGAGAGACCUGCCAUCUUCAGAGGUUUCCUGAUGACUCUGCGAUGGUUGAAUGCACCAGCUAGGGUGAUGAGAUGGGGUAGCGGGCUGUGGUGGACUCCUUUGUCUCAUGGUGCGAGCAGAAUCAUCAGCAGCUCAGCGUGACAAAGACCAAGGAAUUGAUUGUGGACUUUAGGAGGACCAGGAAACCAGCGACCCCUGCUUUAAUCCAAGGGGUCGAUGUGGACAUAGUGGAGGACUAUAAAUACCUCAGAGUACACACUGACAAUAAAGUGGACUAGGUUAAAAACACCACUGCACUCUACAGGAAGGGCCAAAGUCGUCUGUAUUUUCUGAGGCGGCUGAGAUCUUUUAACAUCUGUGAGUACUCGUAAUAUUCUAUGAGUCUGUUGCAUGCUGGGGCAGCAGGUUGAGGGUCGCAGAUGCCAACAGACUCAGUAAACAUAUGUGCAAGGCCAGUAAUGUCAUGGGAAUGGAGUUGGACUCUCUAAAGGUGGUGUUGGAGAGGUGGAUAUUCUUUAAAUUCUCUAAAGGACCUUAUUUUUGAUUAGUGGCCCAUAAUUUAUACCAGUAUAGACAUAUAGUAAACAAAUGUAUGGCAGAUGUAUGGGCCUGGUUUCUGAUAAUAUUUCAGAAUCUUGUUUUAAGUUCAUGGUUAGAAAUAUGACAAAACCUCCCCCAAAAAACACGCAACAUGGAGUCAGCCCACAAGAGCACCCGAUGUGGCUCAUUCUUCCACAGUCACCCGCCUCUCCCAACACAUUACUUCUUCUCUAACAUAUGCAAAGCUGACUAAUUUCCUUAAGCGAUUCACACGCUUGCACACAAUCAAAAACUGGUCAAUGACUUUAUGAGGAAAGGAAUCGCAAGCUGGUAUCAUCUUGCAAACUGAUUAGUUCAGUUUCCAUCUGGUUUAUAAACUUAAACCUGCUGCAGUGUGCCAAAUCAGCUGCCUGGCAUGGGGCCGACGCUGGGUGCGCACCACGGCUUCCUAGCUUGAAUUCUUUCCCUCUCCUCGCCUCUAUUUUGUGUCAGAGAUUAAAAAUAGCAAGUGGCCUUCUGCAGAAUAAGCAGUUCAUAGAUUCUGGCUUUGACGCUGCGUUUGCCUGGAGAGGCCAGCUGUCACCUGCAUGCAGGCAGAGUAGGCCUCGCCACUGAUUCUCUAUAGACACUGGGCUCUGGACUUUGGCUGUAAGACAAAACGGGUGUGUUUGCGCAUCUACUUUAUAUCGCAGGACAACUUCUGGUGUUUAUAACUUUGUUUAUGUUGAAGAUCAACAAUCACACUGAGCAAAAUGUGCAUAUGGUUGACGAUGUUGAUUUUAGAAAGGCAUGCAGCAAAUAAAUUACUGACAUACAAGCAUCCACUUUUGACCUAUAGCUAAUGCCAGUAUCAAUAUUUUUUAGUUUAAUUGAUUUUUUUCAUACGUUUUCUCGCUUUUAUCCAGAGAAACUGUGAAAUUAUCAUUAUAAAUAAUUGCUAAAUGUUUCUUCAUCACACUGUCUUUGAACACGUGAGGCUCUAAAUAGAGAAUCAAGUUAAGCACUUCAAAUCUGUCACUCAGUAAAGGACUGAAGCUGCUCCAUUUAGAAUUAAUGAGACACCAACCUUGUGAACACUUCGUUGGAACAAAUUUCAUUUUCUGGUCCAGAACAUCACUAUCAAACCUUAAUGUGUGUGUGUGUGGAAGCUCAAACAGCCAUUACACCAGGUUCACAAAGUCAGCCUCCGUCGGCUGAAGUUUUGAUCAGAUAAAAUUUCUGCCUGGGUGGUUUCUAGCUUAAGAGCUGCUACAAAUAUCCAACUUUAAAUCCCACAAGACCACUGGUUCGCAACCUUUCGCUUAUAUAUCAAAAGCCCUGUCAGAUAAGCUGAAGUACUCCUUUGACACAGCCCAUCACGUUCCAAACAUUUCAAUUGAUGGUAAGCCAGAUGUUCUUUUUAAGUCUUAACAAAAUAAGUGAAUAUUGUAGUAGUCAUAUUCUUGUACAGGAGCUGGUUGGGUCUACUUUGUGUUUGUGCUACUAACACUUGGUAGAAGCUUGAUGUUCAUCAAUCACGGCACAAAAAAUGUACUUUUCACCACCUACUAUUUUCAUUCUGUAGAGCCAGAAGGCUUGGUAUCAUGUUUGCAGAAAGCCUGCAUUUAUGACUUUAGGCUAACUAGUUCAACUAUUUUAAUGGUUUGGGUCUCGCUGUUUACCGCCCACAUAAAAUAAACAUUUUUCUUUCUUUUUAAAAUAA